UACGUAGGGUGCAAGCGUUAAUCGGAAUUACUGGGCGUAAAGCGUGCGCAGGCGGUGAUGUAAGACAGAUGUGAAAUCCCCGGGCUCAACCUGGGAACUGCAUUUGUGACUGCAUCGCUGGAGUGCGGCAGAGGGGGAUGGAAUUCCGCGUGUAGCAGUGAAAUGCGUAGAUAUGCGGCGGAACACCGAUGGCGAAGGCAGCCCCCUGGGCUUAAAUUGACGCUGAGGCACGAAAGCGUGGGGAGCAAACAGG
rnacentral:rRNA from 1 species